UAGAUGUUUUGUUUACAUCAAUCAGCUGACGGUUUUGUUGAUUACUCAGUUUAAAUUAGUUUUUGGGAUGAUUUCUGUUGUGUUCAAUUGGAAACGAGAUCUAAAAGUGUUCAGAAUGCUAAAACUCAUGAUUAAUAUUCGCUUGAAACAACUCAAAUAAAUCGGGGAAUCCCACUCGAAAACCUUUAAGUAUCUGGAUUUUCGGUUUCUGAGAAAUAUGGAUCUAGUGAAGGGACAGAUUACCUUUACCUGGCCACCCGAAGAAAUUAAAAGGGUUGAAACUGUCUGAAAAGACCUCUUUCGAUUUUAACUGUCCUCUGAGUUUUUGUGUUUCUCAAAUCAUUGUUGUCCCCAUCAACAUCAGUACUGUUUGCAGUCACGCAAAAUUGGUAAAACUCAGAAUCUUGUUAGAACGAUGGUUGUAACAAGUUGCUAAAGGAUGCUCUAAUGAGCAGAACAAAAAUGAGGCAAAGAGUUUCCACAGGUUUCCUUUUAAACGCCCAGAUAUUUUGGAACUUUGGAUUACUGCUGUAGGAAGGGAAAAUUGGUAUCCCUCAAGGUAAAGUAGAAUAUGUGAAGAUUACCUUCAUAAUCCAAGUUAUACAAGAAAUAUAUUGAAACUUGAUGCUGUACCAAGUGUAUUCAAUAAUAUCCCAAGACAUUCAAAGAUCAUGGAAUACUUACAGUUCCAUCACUCUUCAUAUACAACUCACUGUGUUAUGUGCAUCAGAAGUGG